rnacentral:rRNA from 1 species
GUAGUCCACGCCGUAAACGUUGGGCGCUAGAUGUGGGGCUCAUUCCACGAGUUCCGUGUCGCAGCUAACGCAUUAAGCGCCCCGCCUGGGGAGUACGGCCGCAAGGCUAAAACUCAAAGGAAUUGACGGGGGCCCGCACAAGCGGCGGAGCAUGUUGCUUAAUUCGAUGCAACGCGAAGAACCUUACCUAGGCUUGACAUGCACGGAAAUCUCACAGAGAUGUGAGGUCCUUUAAAGGGUCGUGCACAGGUGGUGCAUGGUUGUCGUCAGCUCGUGUCGUGAGAUGUUGGGUUAAGUCCCGCAACGAGCGCAACCCUCGUUCUAUGUUGCCAGCACGUCAUGGUGGGGAC